AUGCUGUAAAGCCUUUAUUUACAUUGUGAAAGUGGAGCCUGCUUGGACAGGGUCUGCUCUAAAUUUUAGUUCUCUCACAGUCAGCUCCCUACAGACACAAACAUAUGAUAUGGCAUUUGUUAUGGAGCAGAUAUUUCCUUUGUGGGAUUGCUAAUUAUACCUAAGGGAACAGAAGACCUCCCUGAGAGUAGAAACAUGAUGUGGUAAGAGUGAUAAACUAUGGAGCUUGACCGACACACAGAGAAGAAAGAUGGAAGAAAUCAAGGACUGUAAACAAUUCUAAAAAAUGUCUUAGAAUAUACACUGACACUUCCAGAUGGAUCUCUUAACUCCAACUUCCUUGACAUUUAUGUGCUUAUUUUCUUCUCCAAAAUCUCUGUAUUUUGCUUGUGGUGGAAGACACACAGCAACUCUCAAUGACACUGACGCCCACGUUGAGCACUGCACCACCCUGUGGCUCCUUUUGUGGCCAUACAGCAGCUAGCAUUUUCCUCUGGCCAUAUUGCAGCCUGAAAGUCAGCCAGUUGGAUAUGAAAUUAUUUUUCAGCACAUGAAUGUGCAAGAUGGGCAUUGGGGACAUGAUAGUGAGUGAGAUAAAGCUGGCUUCUGCCCACUUGGAGCUUAUCAUCUGACAAAGAAGAAGUGUGAUUCUAAGUAGGAUCCUAUGCGGGAGUUCAGAAUUUAGUGGCAGCAUGUAAUUAGAUGAUUCCCUUUAGCCAGGACACCAGGUCAACUGGCCUGUGUAUUAGUGGUUAUAAUAAUAUAACUAUAGAAAUAACUACCAUUUAUUGCAAGGGUAUAAUACAUAAAGUACUAUUCAAAGACCCAUACAACACCUUGAAUUCUUACACAGUUCUGUGGUAUAGGUAACAAAUUACACAUAUGAUAUCUGCUUCGGAAAUAUGUUGUGAUCCCCACACCAUCACAUGACUGGUAGGUAGCAGAGCUAGGACUAAAAUUUGUGUUUGCCUGGAUGGGGAGCCCCGAUGUUUUCCCUUGUGCCGUAUUUAUUUUUUUUUGGGGGGGGGUGAAAUGAGAGUGUGAAGCUCUACAUCCUGAGCUUGUAGUGAGUGAGGAUUGUGUAUCAUAAUGUAUUUUUUAAAAAGCCCUACAGGGUCUUACAUAUGAUUAGGUUAGAUCUCUUCGAUCUCUUUAAUGUCUACAUCUCAGAACUGAGGUAUUCGGGGGUAUUUUCCUUAACACUUUUCGUGACUUUCCCAUCUUUUUAAUGGUAGCCCUGAUCAUGUUUCUACAACUUACCUCUUCCCAUCACCACUUGUUGUUCCUAAUAAUAAUGGUAAUGAUAAUAAAAUAAGAACAGUACCAAUGAUGGCAUUAAUUAAACAUUUACUAUGUUCUGUGUAGUAUGCAAAUAUUAUCUAGUUUACUCUAAGUAGCCUGCCUGACAGUUAUUUUAAGUAUCCAUGUUUGGAGAUGAGAAAACUAGAACAGAGAGAGCACAGUGAGUUGUCCAUGAUUCUAUGGCAAGUAAAUGUCAGAGCUGGGUUCGAAUCAGGGUGGUCUAUCUGCAGACCCCAUAUCCUUCAUAAUUAUGUUCAUCACUUACUUCUGUUGUCAUUACUCAAGGAUAAUGCAAGGAUCCCACAAUGUUCCAUAAGUUUAAAAUUCUUAAACUUACAAAUGAUCUUCAGUUAGACAAUUAAAAUAGAUUGUAUGACAGAAGGCUGAGAGAAAAAUCAUUCUCCCCUAAACACACACUUACCUGAACAAGUCCUGGUUCAUAGUCACAGAAAUUAUCUUAACUGUAAAUAAGAGCUUUGGAGAAUUUAAAGUUUCAAGUCAGGGUCAAGGAUUAAGGCUAUUUAGAGCAGAGGCAAAUAUCCCUGAGAGAAAAGCAUAAAGCAUAAAGCAUAUUCCCAUGGGAAUAUAAAAGGGACACAAUGGUGGGAAAAAGUCGGGUUAUUUGAUACAGGCUGAAGGGACUAUAUGGGGACCAGAAAGGAAGUGAUGGUCAGUGGGCAUCAAGUUUCAAAGCCAUGAAGUCAUCUAAGCCAUGGAAGAGCUGGCCAGGAACUGAGUGUGCAGAAGAAAGUUUGCUUUCUUGCUUUUUAGGAGUAAUUUUUUGAAAAGAAUAUCAGAGGCAUACCUGAUACCACUAAAUGCCACACUCUGAAUGUAUGAAAGUGGCGGGAAAUGUAUUUUAAUCUGAACCUUCAGGAAGUACCUGGAGAAAUUAGGGUAAAAGAAAAAUAUAUUUUAUCCUUAAUUAGUGGGGUAUUAAGGAAGGACCAAGAAAAGUACAAGAAAUAUACUAUAAAUAAAAUAAGAAGGACCAAGAAAUAUAUUUGAGGAUUUUUGCUAUGAUAAGCUGCUCUAUAUCAAAUGAACCAAAAUGAUUUGUAAAUACACAAGUUUCCCUAGAGUUUGUCAUAUUUUGAUAAGGCCAGCACAUCUCCUCCAUGGCUUCAGAAUUGCUAUGUGCCUGCUUCAGGCAGAUACCCUUAGCCCCUGGGCUCCAGAAACUUCCCAAUAAUUUUCUCUCCCUUUCAUCUUUCCAGCCUGGUGUGGUGAUGGCUUCCUGCUACUGCCCAUCUAAAGUCACCUCACUGCAGUUAUCACCAACUCUUAACAUCUGGGUAAAUGAUUUCCUACAUUUGAUUUCCUCUGUUGUCCUUAAAGCGUUCCUUUGUUAUGAGGAGGGUAAGUGCAUUACCUUUCUAGGGAUGCUGUGACAAACUGCCACAAACUGGGCUGUUUUAAACAACAGACAUUUAUUCUCUGACAGGUUAGGACAUCACAAGUCUAAAACUGAGGCAACAGAGUUUCCUGAGGGCUCAGCAAGUUAAGGGUCUUGCGUUGUCACUGCUGUAGCUUGGGUCACUGCUGUGGGGGUGGGUUUGAUUCCUGCCCUAGAACUUCCACAUGCCAUGGAUACAGCUGAAACAAACAAACAAACAAACAAACAAAACCAAGGCAUCAGUAGAGAUGGUUCCUUCUGGAGGCUCCGAGGGAGAAUCUGUUCCAUGAUUCUCUCCUAACUUCUAGUGAUUGCCCACAGUCCUUGACAUUCUUUGGCUUGAAGGUGCAUCUCUUCAAUCUCUGCAUCCAUCUUCACAAGGCUUCUCCUCUGUGUUUCUCUGUCUCAGCUCUUCCUCUACUUUUUAUAAGGAUGUUAGUCAUUGGAUUUAGGGUCUAAUCUAUACCUAAGAUCCUUAAUUUAUUACAUCUGCAAAGACCCUAUUUUUCAAAUAAGGUCACAUCCAUAAAAACCAGGAGUUAAGACUUGGACAUAUCUUUUGGGAGUCACUGUUCAACUCAUAAAUUUUCCUCCAUUUUUCUGUUUAGAUGCCAAGAGACACAGAAUGGCCCCCACUCUCACAUUCUAAAAUGGCAUUGUCUAAUCAAAUUUUCUAUGAUGAUGGAAAUAUUUUCUGUCUGUACUGUCCAAUUUGGUAACCAUUAGACAUGUGUGCCUACUGAGUACCUGAAAUGCCGUUAGUGUAGCUAACUGAAUUUUUAAACUUUUUCAUCUUAAUUUAAAUUUCAGUCAUUACGUGUGUUUGGAAGCUAUUGUAGACAUAUAUUGCUGGGACAGCAGAGAAGUUCUAUAGCGAAGGAUUGACAGACACCCAUCACACUAGUUCCAAUGUAGUGAGUGUCAGGAGGCUACAGACUUGGGGAAAAGCAGUCAGAGAUAGAGUCACAAAAGCAAUGACAUUGGAGUCAUAACGAUAGUCACCAUGCUUUGCCAGGUUGGAAAGAGGCUUUCAGCUACCAAAAUAACAGGCAUGAAGGCAUGGAAUGGAAGGAUUUAUCAUAUAACAUCUAGUGUGUGUAGUCCCAGAGGAAAUGAGGCUGCAGAGUUUACUUGUAGAUAACUCAAUUGUCAUAUAGGAAAAUUUGAACUUUGCCCAUGGUGUAAAACAAGAAAGUGGAAAGUUCAUAGUAUUUUUCCUGCUUGAUGUAUGAUUGAUAAAUAAAAUGGAUAUAUGUGUUUAAGGUAUACAACAUGAUGGUGUAAUAAUAGUAUCCAUUGUGAAAUGAUUACCACAAUCAAGCUAAUUAACAUAUCCAUCACGUCACAUAGUUACCACUUUUGUGUGUGUGGUGAGAACACUUAGGAUCUACUCUCUUAGCAAAUUUCAAAUAUACAAUACGGUGUUACUAAUGAGAGUCAUCAUGCUGGACAAUAGAUAUCCAAAAAUUUAUUCAUACUGUAUAACCAAAACUUGGUACCCUCUGACCAAUAUCUAUCUCCCCUACUCUUAGCUCCUGGCAGCCACCAUUCCACAUCCUGCUUUUGCAAUAUGACUUUCUUAGAUUCUACUUGUAAAGGAAGAUCUUACUUAUUUUUAAAAGGUAGCAUUACCUGGAAAUAGGAUCGAGGAUGAGGUGAAGUAAGGGAAGCCCAGAACAGUUUCUUGUUCUACUUCCUCACUAGGAAUCUGUAUGGCAUAUGCCAAACACUACAAUUAUCCAAAUUUGAGCGAUGAGGAAACCGUGUUGAGUUUACUGCAUAACAGAAUCGGGUACAUGUUUCCAUUCUGUAUGUGCAGACUGCUUAGUAAAAGCAUUUCAUUUUGUAGAGGAUUAAAGUC
rnacentral:lncRNA from 1 species